rnacentral:rRNA from 1 species
GUGCCAGCAGCCGCGGUAAUACAGAGGGUGCUAGCGUUAAUCGGAAUUACUGGGCGUAAAGCGUGUGUAGGUGGUUGUAUAAGUUAGAUGUGAAAGCCCCGGGCUUAACCUGGGAAUUGCGUUUAAGACUGUAUAACUAGAGUACUGUAGAGGAUAGUGGAAUUUCCAGUGUAGCGGUGAAAUGCGUAGAUAUUGGAAGGAACACCAGUGGCGAAGGCGACUAUCUGGAUAGAUACUGACACUGAGACACGAAAGCGUGGGGAGCAAACAGGAUUAGAAACCCCCGUAGUCC